UUUGGUGAUGAUGGCAGAGAGGUCACACCCGUUCCCAUACCGAACACGGAAGUUAAGCUCUCUAGCGCCGAUGGUAGUUGGGACCUUGUCU
rnacentral:rRNA from 1 species